rnacentral:lncRNA from 1 species
UCAGAAUGAAAAAUGCACAGCAAAAAGGGUUCCUCUGGUUCUUCUCUCUUGCUCCUGGUUUUCUCUUCCUUGGCUUGGUUUCACGUAAAACUGUUUCUGACUCCCACUUUCUAUUUUCUUAACUUCCCACUUAAGAGUAACUCCCUCCUAAUUACACUUAACUCCCCCAAAUUCCUAAUAACUCCAAUUAAUUCCCCAAACACCAAAAUAAUUAAUAUUUCAUACUUAUUUUAAUUAUUAUUAAAUAAACCAUAUAAUAAAAUAAUAUACCAUAUAAAUCACCCAAAAUCACACAUAUAAAU